rnacentral:lncRNA from 10 species
GGGACCACACUUCACAAAAGGGAGCAAGAAGGCAGAUAACGGCAAAGAAAAAUGUUUGUAGUUUACUGUGGAGGACCAAGUGAGUUUAUACAGAUGUUUACCUCCUUUGGGAUUAUUUGCUGCUGGCUAGAAUGAAAAGACAAACAUUCCCUUCAAACAGUAUGCCAUUGCCUAAUAAUUUUGCAAGCUCAAAUGAAAUCCAACCAAAUUCAGAAUUUAGAUUUUCCUACUGGCUUGUGUAAUUUUUGUUUGUAUGGGAUAGAAUCAGGUUCCAUCUUUUAUUCUCCUUCAGAAUAUCAUUAACAAAGAAAACUUUGAAUGUUAGUUGGUGGGAUAGAUACAUUGACACUGUUUACAUAGCACUGUUUCCUACUCGGGCCUGCACACAAACAUUCGCACACAUUUUCAUGUACACACACUCCUGGGGAGGUCAAUGAAUAUUACAAUUCUUCUUCUGGAAAUAAUCCUUAAGAAUGAAUGAGCAAAAGACACAGUUUUCAACCCUAUUUUCUCUUCUCUUUCUCUCUUUUUCUUCCCUCUGUUCUUUCUCUCUCUCUCUUUUUUCCUUCUUUUUAUUUUUUUCUUCCUGGAGAGGUUUCUGAAGUUCAACAGUGAUUCUUUAAUUAAGAGAAAAAAAAAACCACACAUACACACACUAGAGAACAAGAAGGAAUAGUAAACAGUUCCCUCCACUGCUAGAGGGGUUAGUUACAAAAUAAACAUUUCACAGACUGGACCACAUCUCCUGUAAUGAGACAGCUCUGGCUAGUGAGACUGCAGCUAAAG